ensembl:lncRNA
CGCUGAUGAUCCUCUGGUGGUUCCCGUCAGGACUGGUGGCGUUGAGCCCCACUAGAGAGGGCAGUGUCUGGGACAUCCAGUUAGUGACCAUGGCCAUGGUGCUCAGCACCGCUCCUAUCUUUAACAUGGGGACACUCAUCCUGGCUGAGCUAGCACACACACACACACACACACACGCACGCACGCACGCACACACACACACACACAAAAGGAACACACACACGCACGCACGCUCACGCACGCACACACACACACACACACACACACACACGAACGCUCACACACACCAAGUCACACACUCACUCACACACACUAAAUCACACACUCACUCACUCACUCACACACAUGCACACACAGGCACACACACACACACACACUCAGGAAAGCUCACACACACACCAAGUCACACACUCACACACACACACUCAGGAAAGCUCACACACACCAAGUCACACACUCACACACACACACUCAGGAAAGCUCACACACACUAAAUCACACAUACACUCACUAACUCACACACACACACACACACACUCAGGAAAGCUCACACACACCGAAUCACACACACCAAGUCACACAGGAACUCUCACACAACAAGUCACACACUCACUCACACACACACAGGAACAUUCAUACACACACCAAAUCACACAGACCUGCUAUCCACUCAUGGACCCACAGAGAGACAAGUUGAGGACAGGACCGGAUCCUUAACUCUCUGCUCCAAAAAGAGUCUACAAAUCUUCCAAGGAAGACUUGCUAAAGUCCCAACAGUCCAUCAACCACGUCCCAACGGUUCCUCAACCACGACCCGACAGUCCCUCAACCAAGUCCCAACAGUUCCUCAACCAAGUCCCAGAGCUGAGUCCAGUCCAGGUUGCGAUCCACUAGACAACGAGCUCCAGUCCUUAUGAAGGCAUCGAUGCCAAAGUCCCAGCUACUCCCCUACCGCUUCCACAGUGUCUUCUAACAGUAGCAACCUAUAGACCCUAGUACUGAGAGAGUCACAUACAGAGAGAGAGAGAGAGCGAGAGAGAGAGUAGAGGACGAGAGCGAGAGCGAGACCGAGACUGAGAAAGAAAGAGAGAGAGAGAGAGGAGAGGAGAGGACGAGAGCGAGACUGAGAAAGAAAGAGAGAGAGAGAGAGGAGAGGAGAGGACGAGAGCGAGACUGAGAAAGAGAGAGAGAGAGAGAGAGAAAGAGAGAGAGAGAGGAGAGGAGAGGACGAGAGAGAGAGCGAGAGCGAGAAAGAGAGGAGAGUGAGAUAAAGGAGAGAGAUUGAAUAUAGGAGUGUGGAGUAUAAUCCUAAAGUCUGUACUCUGUAGCUUGCCAGAGAAAGACUGAGACAGAGCCAGCUAUGCUCUGAGAUUUAUCCUCCCUCCCUCCUGCUGGUUUACACUCCCACACACUGACUGAGCUGACUACAGACACACACACACACACACACUGACUGAGCUGACUACAGACACACACACACACACCACCUUCUCAAUUUCCUUAAUUGGAAUGACCAACAGGCUGACGCCCUGCCAAGUGAAAUGGCUUCAUGAUAUUGAACAAAACGAGUUACAAAAUGUACCUAUUUCUCUCCCUCUCUCUCGCUCUCUCCUCUCAUUCUCUCUCGCUCUCUCGCAUCUCUCUC